AACGAACGCUGGCGGCACGCUUAAACACAUGCAAGUCGAACGAAGCUUGAGAGCUUGCUCUUAAGACUGAGUGGCAGACGGGUGAGGAACGCGUGGGAAUCUACCUAGCAGCGGGGAAUAACUUCUGGAAACGGGAGCUAAUACCCCAUACGCCCUACGGGGGAAAGAUUUAUCACUGUUAGAUGAGCCCGCGUUAGAUUAGCUAGUUGGUGCGGUAAGAGCGCACCAAGGCGACGAUCUAUAGCUGGUCUGAGAGGAUGGACAGCCACACUGGGACUGAGACACGGCCCAGACUCCUACGGGAGGCAGCAGUGGGGAAUAUUGGACAAUGGGGGAAACCCUGAUCCAGCGAUGCCGCGUGAGUGAAGAAGGCCCUAGGGUUGUAAAGCUCUUUCAGUAGGGAAGAUGAUGACGGUACCUACAGAAGAAGCACCGGCUAACUCCGUG
rnacentral:rRNA from 1 species